AAUAGAUACCCCGGUAGUCCUUACUGUAAACUAUGUAUACUUGGUGUAACUGGACUCAACCCUAGUUGUGCCGCAGCUAACGCGUUAAGUAUACCGCCUGAGGAGUACAGUCGCAAGGCUGAAACUCAAAAGAAUUGACGGGGACCCGCACAAGCAGUGGAGCAUGUGGUUUAAUUCGAUGCAACGCGAAGAACCUUACCCAGGCUUGACAUGCAGUAGACAGCAUCAGAAAUGAUGUCUUCCUUCGGGACUGCUGCACAGGUGCUGCAUGGCUGUCGUCAGCUCGUGCCGUGAGGUGUUGGGUUAAGUCCCGCAACGAGCGCAACCCUUAUCGUUAGUUGCCAACACGUGAUGGUGGGAACUCUAACGAGACUGCCUGGGGUUAACCAGGAGGAAGGUGAGGAUGACGUCAAGUCCGCAUGGCCCUUAUGUCUGGGGCUACACACGUGCUACAAUGGUCGGUACAGAAGGCAGCGAAGCCGCAAGGCGAAGCGAAAUCCGCUAAAGCCGAU
rnacentral:rRNA from 1 species